AGUGGCGGACGGGUGAGUAACGCGUGGGCAACCUGCCCCAUACAGGGGGAUAACAGCCGGAAACGGCUGCUAAUACCGCAUAAGCGCACGGGACCGCAUGGUUCUGUGUGAAAAACAAUAGUGGUAUGGGAGGGGCCCGCGUCUGAUUAGCCAGUUGGCGGGGUAGAGGCCCACCAAAGCGACGAUCAGUAGCCGGCCUGAGAGGGCGGACGGCCACAUUGGGACUGAGACACGGCCCAAACUCCUACGGAAGGCAGCAG
rnacentral:rRNA from 1 species